rnacentral:rRNA from 1 species
GACGAACGCUGGCGGCGUGCCUAAUACAUGCAAGUAGAACGCACAGUUUAUACCGCAGCUUGCUACACCAUAGACUGUGAGUUGCGAACGGGUGAGUAACGCGUAGGUAACCUGCCUGGUAGCGGGGGAUAACUAUUGGAAACGAUAGCUAAUACCGCAUAAUAUUGAUUAUUGCAUGAUAAUUGAUUGAAAGAUGCUAUUGCAUCACUACCAGAUGGACCUGCGUUGUAUUAGCUAGUAGGUGAGGUAACGGCUCACCUAGGCGACGAUACAUAGCCGACCUGAGAGGGUGAUCGGCCACACUGGGACUGAGACACGGCCCAGACUCCUACGGGAGGCAGCAGUAGGGAAUCUUCGGCAAUGGACGAAAGUCUGACCGAGCAACGCCGCGUGAGUGAAGAAGGUUUUCGGAUCGUAAAGCUCUGUUGUAAGAGAAGAACGGGUGUGAGAGUGGAAAGUUCACACUGUGACGGUAUCUUACCAGAAAGGGACGGCUAACUACGUG